rnacentral:lncRNA from 1 species
GUUUUGGAGAUGGUUCUUUAAUGAAUCAGUCCAAUCCUUUCAGAUCUCUUUUGAAAUCUUCAGCCACUUCAAUAGAUCCUCAACAUGCAUUCUUAAAACUGAAGCAUGAACAUGCUUCUGAGCAACCUAUAAGAAGUGAUUCUGUCCUUAAAGGUUUUGUUUUAGGGACCAGUGGCUCCCUAGUCGGUUUGUGAACCUGGAGCACCAACUAAGAAUGUGCAAAAUAAACUUUGAUUUUGUGUGUGUUUGUGAUCCAGAGCUCCGCCCAAAGAAACCGAGGAAGAGUUUGACUCGGCCUCUGAGGAAGACAACUGGCCCAGACACGCCGACGCCGCCAACAACUGAACGUGAAGCUGCUGAGUGGAGUCCUAUGGAGUCCUUCCAGCUGGACCUAAACCGAGAGCUGUGACACACUGAUACCGCACAUGUGAUAUUUUCUUAUGCCUCUGUUUUAACCAUGAUGCUCAAUUCUACAGCACAAACCUCUGUUACGUACAUCUAGUUUUUUUUUUAAGUUUUACUGUUUUUAGACAACUUACCGUUUUCCUGUUAACUUAAGAACUGAACAAAAAUAAAAGUGAUAAUAAAUUUGACAAAAGUUGCACACAUUUUCUGUGCAGUCUGUGAUGUGUACUUUCUGAUGCUUUAUUAGCUUUGUCCUGUAAAUUGCAUACUUCAGCUUCUAUUUAACUCUGCAUACACAAAUCAAAAGACAGUACUAUCAUUUCUCUGGUUUCUGUUUUGCUCUUAUUUCUUUUUUUUUUAUCAGCCACCGUUUAUUUCCCUGUUAAAAACCGAAACCAAAUCCUUCAAGAUAACAAUUGAAACAAUGUUUUGAAUGAUGAAAAUAACUUUGGAAAAGCCCUAAAGAGCAAUGAAAUCACAAGUUCUGAGAAUCAUCAAUUGUUAUGUAUGCGAGGCAUGUUGUGAUGGUCCCCUAGGUGGCAGCAUAGAGCAACAUCAGUAGAUGAGACAUUCAUUCUUGUGAUUACUAGAAAAGUAGCUUUUUGGAUUGUCUUAUUCAUAUCAUGGUCUGCCAUUAGUUUUUUUUUUUUUUUCAAAUAAAGUAAUUUAAAGCAUAAUUCGUAGUAGAAAUCUGACAAGUUUGUAUACUUGCAUAAACAAAAACACAUGCAAGUUAUGUAAGUUAUUAACCAGUUUGCAUGCUUGUCCCAUGCUGUACUUGUCUAAUUAAUAUUUUUAAGUAUGUAAUUAACGUGUAAAUAGACAAAAGCUAGCAGAAUUUUUAUAAGGCCCUUAAAAUCUUUUCCACCUUUCACUUCAUUAACUGUUUUUCUGACGUCUACCAAAAUGAUGGCUAUAAUAAUAAUAAUAAUCUAUUCAUAUAUAAACUUUUUGAAUGGCUGUCUUUGGACCGCUCAAAAGUGUGGGGUCAGUAAAAUUUAUUCAAACGUUUUAAAUAUAUUUUCAAACGUGCUUCUCGUGAAUUAUAUGCCU